UCUAAGGGGAUCAGUGGCGAACGGGUGAGUAACACGUGAGUAACCUGCCCCGGACUCUGGAAUAAGCGCUGGAAACGGCGUCUAAUACCGGAUACGAGACGCAACCGCAUGGUUAGUGUCUGGAAAGUUUUUCGGUCUGGGAUGGACUCGCGGCCUAUCAGCUUGUUGGUGAGGUAAUGGCUCACCAAGGCGACGACGGGUAGCCGGCCUGAGAGGGCGACCGGCCACACUGGGACUGAGACACGGCCCAGACUCCUACGGGAGGCAGCAGUGGGGAAUAUUGCACAAUGGGCGAAAGCCUGAUGCAGCGACGCCGCGUGAGGGAUGACGGCCUUCGGGUUGUAAACCUCUUUCAGCAGGGAAGAAGCGAAAGUGACGGUACCUGCAGAAGAAGCACCGGCUAACUACGUGCCAGCAGCCGCGGUAAUACGUAGGGUGCGAGCGUUGUCCGGAAUUAUUGGGCGUAAAGAGCUUGUAGGCGGUUUGUCGCGUCUGCUGUGAAAAUCCGGGGCUCAACCCCGGACUUGCAGUGGGUACGGGCAGACUAGAGUGUGGUAGGGGAGACUGGAAUUCCU
rnacentral:rRNA from 1 species